GACGAACGCUGGCGGCGUGCUUAACACAUGCAAGUCGAACGCUGAAGACCUGGCUUUUGUUGGUGUGGCUGAGUGGCGCACGGGUGAGUAACACGUGAGUAACCUGCCCUCUUCUUUGGGAUAACGCCCGGAAACGGGUGCUAAUACUGGAUAUUCACUGAUCUUCGCAUGGGGGGGGGUGGAGAGGUAUGUUCUGGUGGUGGAUGCGCUCGCGGCCUACCAGCUUGUUGGUGGGGUGAUGGCCUACGAAGGCUUGGACGGGUAGCCGGCCUGAGAGGGUGGCCGGUCAGAUUGGCAGUGAGAUACGGCCCAGAGUCAUACGCGAGACAGCAGUGGGGAAUAUUGCACAAGGGGCGAGAGCCUGAGGCAGAGACGUCGCGUGAGGGAGCGAGGUGUUCGGGUUGUAAACUUCUUUUGCUAAUGGUCAAGCCGAAGCUGUGGGUUGUGGUGAGGGUAGUGGGUAAAGAAGCGCCGGCUAACUACGUG
rnacentral:rRNA from 1 species